AGAGUUUGAUCCUGGCUCAGGAUGAACGCUAGCGGCAGGCUUAACACAUGCAAGUCGAGGGGUAACAGGAAGUGCUUGCACUUCGCUGACGACCGGCGAACGGGUGCGUAACGCGUAUGCAACCUACCUUCUACAGGGGGAUAGCCCAGAGAAAUUUGGAAUAAUACCCCAUACGGUCAUUUAAUGGCAUCGUUAAAUGAAGAAAACUCCGGUGGUAGAAGAUGAGCAUGCGUCCUAUUAGUUAGUUGGUAAGGUAAUGGCUUACCAAGACACCGAUAGGUAGGGGUCCUGAGAGGGAGAUCCCCCACACUGGUACUGAGACACGGACCAGACUCCACGGGAGGCAGCAGUGAGGAAUAUUGGACAAUGGAGGCAACUCUGAUCCAGCCAUGCCGCGUGCAGGAAGACGGCCCUACGGGUUGUAAACUGCUUUUAUACAGGAAGAAUUAUACCUACGUGUAGGUAUUUGACGGUACUGUAAGAAUAAGGAUCGGCUAACUCCGUGCCAGCAGCCGCGGUAAUACGGAGGAUCCAAGCGUUAUCCGGAAUUAUUGGGUUUAAAGGGUCCGUAGGCGGUUUUUUAAGUCAGAGGUGAAAUCCUGCAGCUCAACUGUAGCAUUGCCUUUGAUACUGAAAGACUUGAGUUAUUGUGAAGUAGUUAGAAUGUGUAGUGUAGCGGUGAAAUGCAUAGAUAUUACACAGAAUACCGAUUGCGAAAGCAGAUUACUAACAAUAUACUGACGCUGAGGGACGAAAGCGUGGGUAGCGAACAGGAUUAGAUACCCUGGUAGUCCACGCCGUAAACGAUGGAUACUAGCUGUUCGAUCAACACUGGUUGAUUGAGUGGUUAAGCGAAAGUGAUAAGUAUCCCACCUGGGGAGUACGCUCGCAAGAGUGAAACUCAAAGGAAUUGACGGGGGCCCGCACAAGCGGUGGAGCAUGUGGUUUAAUUCGAUGAUACGCGAGGAACCUUACCAGGGCUUAAAUGUAAGUUGCAUAAAUCAGAGAUGAUUUUUUCUUCGGACUACUUACAAGGUGCUGCAUGGUUGUCGUCAGCUCGUGCCGUGAGGUGUCAGGUUAAGUCCUAUAACGAGCGCAACCCCUGUCGUUAGUUGCCAUCAAGUAAUGUUGGGUACUCUAGCGAGACUGCCGGUGCAAACCGAGAGGAAGGUGGGGAUGACGUCAAAUCAUCACGGCCCUUACGUCCUGGGCUACACACGUGCUACAAUGGCCGGUACAGAGAGCAGCCACUACGCGAGUAGGAGCGAAUCUUCAAAACCGGUCUCAGUUCGGAUCGCAGUCUGCAACUCGACUGCGUGAAGCUGGAAUCGCUAGUAAUCGGAUAUCAGCCAUGAUCCGGUGAAUACGUUCCCGGGCCUUGUACACACCGCCCGUCAAACCAUGGGAGCUGGGGGUGCCUGAAGUCUGUGACCGCAAGGAGCAGCCUAGGGUAAAACUAGUGACUGGGGU
rnacentral:rRNA from 1 species